GAUGAACGCUGGCGGCGUGCCUAAUACAUGCAAGUCGAGCGAACAGACGAGGAGCUUGCUCCUCUGACGUUAGCGGCGGACGGGUGAGUAACACGUGGAUAACCUACCUAUAAGACUGGGAUAACUUCGGGAAACCGGAGCUAAUACCGGAUAAUAUAUUGAACCGCAUGGUUCAAUAGUGAAAGACGGUUUUGCUGUCACUUAUAGAUGGAUCCGCGCCGCAUUAGCUAGUUGGUAAGGUAACGGCUUACCAAGGCAACGAUGCGUAGCCGACCUGAGAGGGUGAUCGGCCACACUGGAACUGAGACACGGUCCAGACUCCUACGGGAGGCAGCAGUAGGGAAUCUUCCGCAAUGGGCGAAAGCCUGACGGUGCAACGCCGCGUGAGUGAUGAAGGUCUUCGGAUCGUAAAACUCUGUUAUUAGGGAAGAACAAAUGUGUAAGUAACUAUGCACGUCUUGACGGUACCUAAUCAGAAAGCCACGGCUAACUACGUG
rnacentral:rRNA from 1 species